rnacentral:rRNA from 1 species
GUCUUUUUGGUUAUUUAAUAUAAAGUCUGACCUGCCCACUGAAUUUAUUUUGAAGGGCCGCAGUAUUUUGACUGUGCAAAGGUAGCAUAAUCAUUAGUCUUUUAAUUGAAGGCUGGUAUGAAUGGUUGGAUGAGGUACAAGCUGUGUCAUAAAAAUUAAUAUUUGAAUUUAACUUUUUAGUCAAAAGGCUAAAAUGUAAUUAAAAGACGAGAAGACCCUAUAGAGCUUUAUAUAGUUGAUAUUUAAUUUAUUAAGAUUUAUUAAAUUUAAUUAUUUUACUGUAUUUUGUUGGGGUGACAAUAAAAUUUAUAAAACUUUUAUUAUUAUUUAACAUUUAUUUAUGGUUAUAUGAUCCAGUUUUAUUGAUUAUAAAUUUAAGUUACCUUAGGGAUAACAGCGUAAUUUUUUUUGAGAGUUCAUAUCGACAAAAAAGAUUGCGACCUCGAUGUUGGAUUAAGAGUAAUUUUGGGUGUAGAAGUUCAAAGUUUAAGUCUGUUCGACUUUUAAAUUCUUACGUGAUC